UCGCCUGUUUAUCAAAAACAUAGCUAUAUGACAUACAUAUUUAGUGAUUUCUGCUCAAUGAUUAUUUAAAUAGCCGCAGUACCCUGACUGUGCAAAGGUAGCAUAAUCAAUUGGCUCAUAAUUGGAGUCUGGCAUGAAUGAAAGAAUAGGGAGUGACUGUUUCUUAAUAACUAUUAAAAAUUGAUUAGAAAGUGAAAAUGCUUUUAUAUAAGUAUUAGACGAGAAGACCCUAGAAAUUUUUUGUUGAAUUGUGUUAACAUUUUGUUGGGGCGACAGAGUAACAAACAUUUAACUUACUUGGUUUGUUGGAAGUAUCUAUACAGUAAAAGUAAAUUACUCUAGGGAUAACAGCAUAAUUUUAAUUAAGUUUGUGACCUCGAGAGAUGGAUUAGGACAAAUAUUAAGUUAGAAGAUAUAUA
rnacentral:rRNA from 1 species